rnacentral:tRNA from 1 species
GCGGGGGUGCCCGAGCCAGGUCAAAGGGGCAGGAUGGGGGCUCCGAAAGGGCCUCCAUGCCAAGUUUAGGUCCCUGUGGCGUAGGCCUGCGUGGGUUCAAAUCCCACCCCCCGCA